GAAUGCAUUGGAAAAAAAAAAAAAAAAACAGGUGGAGAAAGAUGUGGUGAAAGCAGAAGAGUAUUAUGGGAGGGCAAUAUUGGCAAACCCAGGUGAAUGUGAUGGAGAAGUACUUUCACUGUAUGGAAAAUUGAUAUGGGAUAUACAUAGAGAUGAAAACAGAGCUAAUUUUUACUUCAACCAAGCUCUUCUAGCUUCCCCUCACAAUUGUAUGAUAAUGGGUUCGUAUGCGAAUUUCAUGUGGGAAGUUGAGGAGGAGGAAGAAAAAGAAAUUGGGAGAUCAGUUAAUAAUAAUAGUAUAGCAUCAUCAAUUAUGGUGGAGGCUUUCUAAUUUAAUAUUGUAAUCUUAAAUAUAUAUUAUAUAAAUUACAGCUGUCAGUCAGUCAGUCGUAGGUUUUUCUAACAAUGCUACAGAUACAAUCAUACAACAACAAUGUAAGAGGAAAACAAUUCUGAAUUCUAGUC